GAUGAACGCUAGCGGCAGGCUUAAUACAUGCAAGUCGAGGGACAGAACAGGUAGCAAUACUGGGUGGUAACCGGCGAACGGGAGCGGAACAAGUACACAACCUUCCUUUAAGUGGGGAAUAGCCCAUAGAAAUUUGGAUUAAUACACCGUAAUUUAGUUGAAUGGCAUCAUUUGAUUAUUAUAUCUACGGCUCUCAAUGAUUGUUGUGCGGCUGAUUAGAUAGUUUGCGGGGUAACGACCCACCAAGUCUACGAUCAGUAGCUGAUGUGAGAGAAUGAUCAGCCACACGGGAACUGAGAAACGGGCCCGAAUCCUACGGGAGGCAGGAGUAAGGAAUAUUGGUCAAUGGACGCAAGUCUGAACCAGCCAUGCCGCGUUAAGGAUUAAGGUCCUCUGGAUUGUAAACUUCUUUUAUUUGGGACGAAAAAGGGCCUUUCUAGGUCAACUGACGGUACCAGAUGAAUAAGCACCGGCUAACUCCGUGCCAGCCGCCGCAGUAAGAC
rnacentral:rRNA from 1 species